rnacentral:rRNA from 1 species
GAUGAACGCUGGCGGCGUGCUUAACACAUGCAAGUCGAACGAAGCACUUUAUUUGAUUUCCUUCUGGACUGAUUAUUUUGUGACUGAGUGGCGGAUGGGUGAGUAACGCGUGGGUAAUCUGCCUUGUACAGGGGGAUAACAGUUGGAAACGGCUGCUAAUACCGCAUAAGCGCACGGCAUCGCAUGAUGCAGUGUGAAAAACUCCGGUGGUAUAAGAUGGACCUGCUUUGGAUUAGCUAGUUGGUGAGGUAACGGCCCACCAAGCUGACGAUCCAUAGCCGGCAAGAGAGGGAGACCGGAGACAUUGGGGGUGAGACACGGAGGGAACUACUGCGGAAGGCAGCAAUGGGGAAUAAUGCACGAUGGGGGAGAGCAUGAUGCAGCGACGCCGCGUGAGCGAAGAAGUAGUGCGGUAUGUAAAGCUCUAUCAGAAGGGAAGAUAAUGACGGUACCUGACUAAGAAGCACCGGCUAAAUACGUG